CAAACUAAGGAGUAUGAAAAACCAUGCUCAGAUUUAUUUUGAGCUUUCUACAAGCUAUAGCAACGGUCGCUACACUGAUUUAGAGACAUUUGUCGAAUCAAAUUCAGCAGCAUUUCAAUCUGACAACAACCUAGGGUUGGUGAAGCAAGUGCUCUCAUCGAUGUACAAACGGAACAUCCAAAGGCUGACCCAGACUUACUUAACUCUUUCACUUGAAGAUAUUGCUAGGUCUGUUCAACUUGAAACAUCAG